rnacentral:rRNA from 1 species
UACAGAGGUCUCGAGCGUUGUUCGGAUUCAUUGGGCGUAAAGGGUGCGUAGGUGGCGCCGUAAGUCGGGUGUGAAAUUUCGGAGCUUAACUCCGAAACUGCAUUCGAUACUGCCGUGCUAGAGUGCUGGAGAGGAGAUUGGAAUUUACGGUGUAGCAGUGAAAUGCGUAGAUAUCGUAAGGAAGACCAGUGGUGAUGGCGGAUCUCUGGACAGCUACUGACACUGAGGCACGAAGGCCAGGGGAGCAAACGGG